rnacentral:rRNA from 1 species
UACGAAAGGGGCUAGCGGUGUUCGGAGUUACUGGGCGGAAAGCGCACGUCGGCGGCCAUGUAAGUUGGGGGUGAAAUCCCGGGGCUCAACCCCGGAACUGCCUUCAAAACUACAUAGCUAGAGGAUGUGAGAGGAUAGUGGAAUUCCGAGUGUAGAGGUGAAAUUCGUAGAUAUUCGGAAGAACACCGGUGGCGAAGGCGACUGUCUGGCACAUUUCUGACGCUGAGGUGCGAAAGCGUGGGGAGCAAACAGG